GUCGAGCGCCGCGACCUCCAUUCCGAUCUGCUGUCUCCAUCUCCGUUCGCGAAGCAAGACCGCGUCGCUGCCAGUCCAGAUCUGCGUUGCAGUCGUCCCGCGCGCCGAUCUGCCGUCUCCAUCUCCGUUCGCGAAGCAAAACCGCGCCGCUCGCCGAACCCAACCGCCGCCGCUCGCCGAACCCAACCGCCACCCUCUCUUUUCUCCUUCGGAUCGAAACCGCCGCGCCCAUCCACCUGUAACUGCCGCGCAACCUUCAUUCCAACUGCUGCACUGCCGCGCGAUUCUCCGACCACGUCUCCUUUAGCCGACCGCUGACCGACCCACACUUAGGAUUUUGCUGCGAGUUCGACAGUCGUGCGUUGAGGUGUUGGGAGUAACCUUGGGCUCCCUUAAAUUCACAACCAAUUUGUGAAUUGUUGAGGGUUCAGUUCGCCAGUAUUUCGGAUUUGAUUCAUUGGAUUUAGUAGAUUGAAGAAUUUGCAUAGAAAUCGAGGUAA